rnacentral:misc_RNA from 1 species
UUUCCGUAGGUGAACCUGCGGAAGGAUCAUUAUUAUAAUGCGUGGAAAAGCCCCCUUACAGGGGCUCUCUAGAAAACUCUAAACUUACUGUCUGAGAAGGCUACGUGCCAUAAUCUUUAAAUAUUUUAAAACCUUCAACAACGGAUCUCUUGGUUCUC